rnacentral:rRNA from 1 species
GACAGAGGUGCCAAGCGUUAGGCGGAAUCACCGGGCUUAAAGCGUGUGUAGGCGGAUCGUUAAGUACCUUGUGAAAUCCCACGGCUCAACCGUGGAACUGCUGGGUAUACUGGCGAUCUUGAGCCACCUAGGGGCGAGCGGAACAAGCGGUGGAGCGGUGAAAUGCGUAGAUAUCGCUUGGAACGCCAACGGUGAAAACAGCUCGCUGGGGGUGUGCUGACGCUGAGACACGAAAGCCAGGGGAGCGAACGGG